GCUGGACCAAAGAUGAGCAGCAGCUUUUCUUGGCAGAGUGUCUGCCCUUCUUAGCUGAAACCAGACAGGGCUGAGUGCUCCUUUAUCAGCCAUGCAGCAGAGGCAAGCGUGGGCCACUAUUUCAGAUAGUAGAUUUUUAUGUGAUUACAUGGAAUUUUACACAGUUCCUUCUAAUACUGUGAGAGAAAAUAACUUCAUUAACCUCCGUUUUAAGAUUUGCUUGAGAAAUGUGCCCAGUAGAAUGUUUGAGCUGAGUAACAGAUUUCUGUGAAUGUGAUUUUUGAUAGUGUUUAUUUAAACUAAGAACUACUGUAGUCAAAACCCAGCCCUCAUGUUUCUCCUUGAUUUUUAAAAACAUAG